UCUUAUUUGUUUCUAAUGUUAUUAAUUUGGUAUAUGGUGGAAUAAUUGAACUGAUUACCCUUGGCGAUUUGUAUGUUAUCGAUUGACUUAAAGCUGCUUAGUUGUUCAAUCUGUAGUUCGAAUAUGAUGUCUAGGUUGAUAAAUGUAGAUAGGAGUGUGAGUGAUGUCCAAGUUUUUUGGUGCAACUUUAGCUUACUGUGGACAUGACUUUGGGUAGGAGGUUAUGGAGGUCGUAGAUUAGGGUAGAAGGUUAGUAGAUAGUUGUGCUUUAUUUAGCUUUAGAGCGGUAGGUUUGUGCACAAUACCUAUUCCCUGUCCACACCAGGAGUAGUAGCAUUCUCUCGUAGUUGGUUUUCUUAUGAUUUUUGUUACUCCUCUUCGUUAUUGUGCUUCACUUAUCACCUUAUUUGGUUAUUUUAUUUUUCCUGUCUUCUGAAUAUUAGUAGUUAAUUCAUUGUUUAACAUAAUAACAGUCUGUUAGGAAUGUCCUCAUGACAUAUAGCAAUGAAGAUCAUGGUGUGUUACAAGUCAUGUAUGAUUUUCAUCUGCUUUUAUAUGGGAGGAAGAUAGACUGAUACAUGAAUAUGACCAUGGGUUGGCGAAUAUGCCCCGUUGCAACUGGUUGUCCUUUAUUUGCAUAAUAUGACUUGGUAUAAGUUGUGCCCAUCUAGAAAGACUUGCAAAUUGCAGGACAAAUGUGCUAUGUUUUGUGAUGAAUUGGCCCUCUCAUUCAGCCAUUCCUUAGUAUUCCAUAUUCUCACAGUGUUUACGCAAAAUCCUAUUGUCAUAUUGAGCACACUAGACAUCUAUUUGCUCUAAUAUCAUAUUGAAUUGUGUGACUGUCUUAUCUAAAAAGUUAGAAAAUCAAGUUGUUAAGAGGGGACACACUUUUAAUUCCAAAAUAAUAUAAUGUGUCUUCAACAGGUAAGUUGUCUAAUGUGACGUCUUUGAUACCUGCUAGCCCGAACGCAUCUUCUGAUUUGUCUUUUGGAAGGCAAAGGGCAAAGGAUCCUGGAAUGGUGUUUGUUUCUGGUGCCACUAGACACGUUGGUAUCCGUAUUGCUCAGAUAUUGUUACGUGACGGUUAUAGUGUAAGAGUUGGAGUUUCUGACCUUGGUGCCGCACAAGAACUAGCUCAUCUAGCCAUUAGCUAUAAGAGGCUACAAAAGUGGUCUUUGCAAUAAUAAUGCUCUUAAUCCAGACCAGGCAUCAAAAGGUUGGAGAAAUUCCACUUCUUUCAAUAUCCACAUUUUUACAGCUCCAUGACUUGAUCGCCUCUAGUUCCUCUGCACCUUCUACAAGAGAUUGUAUUCUGCUUGCUGCCUGUGAAGCACAUGAGACGCUUUCUCAGAGUGCUGAAUUUCCUGCUGAUGUUUUCACUUCCUGCCUCACAACACCAAUCAAAAUGGCAUUGAGAUGGAAGCAGUCAUGUUGUGGACAUACGAGCCUUCUGAAAAAGAUGCACGGCUAGCAAAUGAAGCCUUAAAGUCAAGAAAGAAAACAACCACCCAAUUGCAAGUGAUAGUAGAGAUAGCUUGUGGAUCAUCUCCUAAUCAUCUGAUCGCGGUGAGACAAACAUAUUGUGGCCUUUUCAAUCGUUCACUUGAAGAAGAUAUUGCAGCAAAUGUUUCUAUGCCUGUACAGAAGAUUCUAAUUGGUGUAGUCGGGUCCUAUAGAUAUGAUAAGGAACUGGUAGAUCCUGAUACGACAAAUGCAGAAGCCACUAUCCUUCGUGAAGCCAUACAGACAAAACAGUUGGAUAAUGACAAUUUUCUUAUCAUACUCAGCACAAGGAAUGUUCAUUAACUUAAGAGCAAUUUUCUUAUCUUUUAUUUUGUGAUGUGUAUAUAAUUGUUUAUUAUAAUUUAUUAUGUAUGUAAUACUAAUUUACAAUACGGGUGGCUAUUUUAUAUAAAUUGUUGCAAUUGA